rnacentral:tRNA from 1 species
GGCCUCGUAGUUUAGUUGGCUAGAGCGUUGGCUGUACUAAAGCCUUCCCCUUGCUGGCGUGGGUUCGAGUCCUACCAAGGCCG